UACGGAAGGCAGCAGUGGGGAAUAUUGCACAAUGGGCGCAAGCCUGAUGCAGCCAUGCCGCGUGUAUGAAAAGGCCUUCGGGUUGUAAAGUACUUUCAGUCGUGAGGAAGGUGUUAAGGUUAAUAACCUUAGCAAUUGACGUUAGCGACAGAAGAAGCACCGGCUAACUCCGUGCCAGCAGCCGCGGUAAUACGGAGGGUGCGAGCGUUAAUCGGAAUUACUGGGCGUAAAGGGCACGCAGGCGGUUAAUUAAGUUGGAUGUGAAAUCCCCGGGCUUAACCUGGGAAUGGCAUUCAAGACUGGUUAGCUAGAGUCUUGUAGAGGGGGUAGAAUUCCAUGUGUAGCGGUGAAAUGCGUAGAGAUGUGGAGGAAAUACCGGUGGCGAAAGGCGGCCCCUGGGACAAAAGACUGACGCUCAUGUGCGAAAAGCGUGGGGAGCAAAACAGGGAUUAGAUACC
rnacentral:rRNA from 1 species